AGAUAACUGCCAUGAAGGAUAUCUUAAUGGAAUAUGCCAAUUAAUCCUUGCCAGGAAAGCAGUAGCUUACUACUGACUGGACUUGACAUUCCUUUUGCCCUGACCCAAAGGAAGAGCACUGGUGAGAUCUAAGGGACACUCAUUUGUAGUGAGGAGGGACACACAAACAGUGUAGACAACAUCAACGGGGAUGAGGAGUCACACAGCAGGAGACUCCUUCUCACCACCAACCUGCAUCAGAGCUAAUCUGCAGCAACCAGCAAAAUCUUGGACAAACAUCACCCACUUUCAAUACUGAUGACAGUUGGGGUGUAUGGGUAGUCUUAAACUAGGACACCAGUCACCACCUAAAUAAAUGAGGGGACUGGGAAGUCAACACAGUUGCAAUUUAUUAAUGUGCUAACCAUUAAAAGACA